rnacentral:rRNA from 1 species
AGUGAACGCUGGCGGUAGGCCUAACACAUGCAAGUCGAACGGCCGCACAGUAAGCGUUUGUCCUUACUGGUGGCGGGGGGCGGGCGGGUGAGGCAUACAUCGGAAUCUACUUUUUCGUGGGGGAUUACGUAGGGCAAUUUACGAUAAUACCGCAUAUGAUCUACGGGAGAGAUCAAGGGAUCUUGGCACUUUGGGUGUCUCAAUGAGCCGAUGUCGCAUUAGCUAGUUGGUAGGGUAAGGUCACACCAAGGCAACGAUGCGUAGCUGAUCUGAGAGGAUGAUCAGCCACACUGGAACUGAGACACGGUCCAGACUCCUACGGGAGGCAGCAGUAGGGAAUAUUGGGCAAUGGGCGCAAGCCUGAUCCAGCCACGCCGCGUGAGUGAUGAAGGCCUUCGGAUUGUAAAGCCCUGUUAUUAGGAAAGAAAAGAAGUGUAAGUAAACGCCCAUGUUCUGACGGUACCCAAUGAAAAAGCACCGGCUAACUUCGUG